CCUCCCAGGGCAGGGUUAUUGUGUGGGCAGCUCGCAGCUUCUACUAGGAACCUGGAAUGAUUCCCAGUUGAAGAGCACCCCAACCAUGUCCUGCACCAGGAAAGUUCCAACUGUGCACAUCUAGCCUCCUGGGAGUCUAGCAGUUCAGUCUGGACAAUAGCAAGCCCUAAAUAGGACCCUGGGCAUGUGGGCUCCUGUAUAACGACAGGCCCUGGACUGCUCUUUUGGAAUCUCUAACUAACCAAUAUAAGGAUGCAGUAAGGACAUGGCAGUUCUGGCCCCUCAGCCUGCCUCUCCUCUGGCACCUCCAUUUCCAGGCUUUGUCUAGAUCUCCUGUCCAUUUACCCCUGGCAGAGCCUGGCACUUGCAGACACCCUGUGCCCUCAGCCCAUUUCUCUGCCCCAAUUCCUAUCAUUUUGAGACUGUCUGCCUGGUGUGCACCUGCAGCUGGUGGGAGAGUCCUGGAGCAGAGACCCUGAUUAUGUAGACGACAAAUGUCCCUUGAAGGCCCAUGAAUUUUUGAAGACUCGAUCACCAGCUUGUAGGAGUUGGUGGAACCUUCCUUUCAGAGGUGGGACUUAGUGGGAAGAAGUUAAGUCAUCAAGACUGUGACCUUUAAAGGCAUUGGGGGCCAGCUCUGUCCCUUCUAGCUCAUUGAUGUCUGAUUGCCAUGAGAUUCACUCACAUAUCACAUGCAGUUAUCUGCGCUCCUGCAAUGGAGAAGGAAGACAUGAUACUAG